UACGUAGGUGGCGAACGUUAUCCGGAAUCAUUGGGCGUAAAGGGUGCGUAGAUGGCUUGAUAAGUUAGCAGUGGGAAAUCGAGGCUCAACCUCGUGGAAGCUGGUAAUACUGUCAGGCUCGAGUGCAGGAGAGGUUAACGGAACUCCAUGUGGAGCGGUAAAAUGUGUAGAUAUAUGGAAGAACAUCAAUAACGGCGAAGGCAGUUAACUAUUCUGUUACUGACGUUGAGGCACGAAAGCGUGGGGAGCAAAACGG
rnacentral:rRNA from 1 species